CUCUCGGACGCUGGGCUGUGUGAGUCGUGGAGUUGUUGCUGCAGCUUUGUGCCUACCGGAAGCCACGGGAAUGAAGCCCGUGCAGAAGUUGGCCUUACUGAGGGAUGGAGAAAGAGAAAGCAAGAUGUGCCGCCCUUCCAGAACCCGUGUCUCCAUGAAUGGCAUGGGCAUUUACCAGCCAGAGACCUAGGAGUUGGCCUUAGACCUCCUUCCGCCUUCACUGCUGCCGCCUCCUGUCAUCAUCGAGGGCCGUCAGUUCUACCUUCUAAACAUCUCUGGAUUCUCACCAUCGCUGCCACACACCAUGCCACCUGCCCUCAUUUGCCUCGGAGGAGUGACCAGAGCAAAAGUUCUCAAAUGCAAGUCUAACCAUGGUACCCCUGUGACGUGUCCUGUGUGCUCACACUGCUUCUGGGACAAGUAAAACCCUUGAUGUUCUGGUCCUUGAUUAAGUCUUGGGCAUCUUGCCUAGACCCCUUUAUGUGUCUUCAUAUGCCAGAGGACUACAGAGCUGGAUUGUAACUGCUUGUGUAAUGAAAGCACCUGUACACGAGAAUGCCUGUUCUCUGAUGUUGGGGUUUAUGCCUCCGGCUAUCCCGCCCUAGCCCAGCAGAGUGCCCUGUGAAGACAGGGCUGCUGAGAAUGGGAGUAAAGGAUUGCAGUUGGGGUCAAAAAUGAGGGUUCCACUACUCACACUCCUGUGUCACCUUGAGAAAACACUUCCCCCUCGGGUUUCCCAUAUGUAAAAUGGAUGCAAUCA